rnacentral:rRNA from 1 species
UACGUAGGGUGCGAGCGUUGUCCGGAAUUACUGGGCGUAAAGAGCUCGUAGGUGGUUUGUCGCGUUGUUCGUGAAAACCUGAGGCUUAACCUUGGGCGUGCGGGCGAUACGGGCAGACUGGAGUACUGCAGGGGAGACUGGAAUUCCUGGUGUAGCGGUGAAAUGCGCAGAUAUCAGGAAGAACACCCGUGGCGAAGGCGGCUCUCUGGGACGGUACUGACGCUGAGACGCGAAAGCGUGGGGAGCGAACAGG